AUACGGAGGGUGCAAGCGUUAUCCGGAUUUAUUGGGUUUAAAGGGUCCGUAGGCGGACUGGUAAGUCAGUGGUGAAAUCUCAUAGCUUAACUAUGAAACUGCCAUUGAUACUGUCAGUCUUGAGUGUAUUUGAAGUAGCUGGAAUAAGUAGUGUAGCGGUGAAAUGCAUAGAUAUUACUUAGAACACCAAUUGCGAAGGCAGGUUACUAAGAUACAACUGACGCUGAUGGACGAAAGCGUGGGUAGCGAACAGGAUUAGAUACCCUGGUAGUCCACGCCGUAAACGAUGCUAACUCGUUUUUGGGUUUUCGGAUUCAGAGACCAAGCGAAAGUGAUAAGUUAGCCACCUGGGGAGUACGUUCGCAAGAAUGAA
rnacentral:rRNA from 1 species